CCUUAAUAUUAUAUUAUAUUUUAUCUUAGUUUUAUAACUAAAAUAGUUUGGCAGCGAGCGAAUCCGUUCAGGGGAAGGUGUGUUAUAAAGGACGAUCCGCCUAUUAAUUUACUUAUUUUAUGUUGGUGUAUAUCUGGUUUGAUAUUAUUGCUUUAAUAGCCUAAUUUGUGUAUAUUGAUUAUUUAAGCCAAGUCUAUGUGCUGCUUAUUUAAGUUUUCAUGCGUUACAUUUAUAAAUUUAAAUUUGUUAUAGUUUAAUAUUUAGGACUUGAUAGUAGUGUAGAUUUAUUGUGUCUAUGCGAAGCAGGUUUAGCUCGGGUACACACCGCCCGUCACCCUCGAUAAUCAUUGAG
rnacentral:rRNA from 1 species